GUGCUCUCUUUGGCAGCACAUAUAUUAAAAUUGGAAUGAUACAGAGAAGAUUAGCAUGGCCUCUGAGCAAGGAUAGCACACAAAUUCGUGAAACGUUCCAUAGUUUU